CUUACGGAUGUGUCAGAAGAAAUAAGUUUUUCUCGCUUUAAUUUUUUCGCUGAAAAAGGGGAAAAAAGCUGAUGUCUUGGACGCGUUCGACUUAACCAGAAGACCGACCACUUCCGAGGGUUGGGAGAGCAAGGCCAAGGUCGACCUUAAGCCUCCAGCGCCCGUUUAUUAAGGGUGCUGAUUACAACAAGAUGAAGGCAAUCAUAGAUACUAUAGAAUGCCAACGUGAUUCUCCAAGAUUCAGGCAAGUCCUGGAUGAAAAUGAGAAGGACCUGGACAGCCUUGAGGUGAAGCUGGAGAAGGUGGUCAAGCAGUGUAACCAGAUGGUAUCAGCUGGGAAGCAGUUCAACCAUGAGCAAGAG